UGCACAACCCGUUCGAUUUCCCUCUUCAUCACCAGCGGAUGAUGGUCGUUGGUGGACUCGGAUUCGUCGUUGUCUACUUCGAUGGACUCGGAUUUUAACCGGAAGUCGAAGAGGGGAAGGCGAAAGGUGGCGGCGCUUAAAUUAAUAAAGAUGGCUAUGGUGAACUUGUCGUGGAGUGACGAGGACAAAGCCAUGGUGGCGGCGGUUUUGGGGACUAAGGCUUUUGAUUAUUUGAUUUCGAGCUCGGUUUCAGGGAGCCCAGCGAAGGAGAGGAGUCUGAAGGUACCCGGAUUCUAAAUUUGCUUCUAGAAGACGAGACCCAGCAGAGAAUGAGGAAGAGGGUUAUCUAUAAGCUGCAUAUGAAAGCAAAGUACUUUCCCCCCAAAGAGGAUGUAAUUCUGCAGAAUGAAGCACCAACAGACUUCUAUAUUCUUGUGACAUGAGCUGUGGACCUACUUGUUUAUAGAAAUGGAGUUGAACAGGCAAGUGGAUUGUGAAAACCUACAGCUUCCCUAUGUUUUCAUGGAAGUUCUUCUUAGAUUACCACAUAUUAAUCCAUAUGGAUUUGUCUUCAUCCUUUUUUUUUUUUUUUUUUUGUAUGAUUCAUAACUCUGUCUGAGAUAGUUAUAACAUUGUGGAGGCAAAGACUGGCGAUCCUUGUGGUCUAGAAUGCCAUCUGUAGAAUGCCCCCGAUUAUGAACUCACACCGGAAGAGGCUGCUAUGUUUCCUCGGGUAAAGACAAAGGGUACCGAAAAUAAGGUUGUAUCCGCAAAUAUACAAGUAUGAACUUAGUAAUGCAUAGACAUUUACACUAAGAUGCACACAGUCUAUUUGUAAAUUAUUCAAGACCGUCUUGUCAUGUUAGCUACCACACAUUGCAAUACAUGCACACAUCUCAAGAUAUGAUUCCAAAUCAGUGUUGGUUUCACAUUUUUCAUUUUUUGCUUCCAUGUAAACGCUCGUAAUAUUUAGUAAUUAUUGUGUGUGCAUGGAGCAACCUGUAUUCUGUGUUC